UCCUCUCUUUAAAUUCAUCACAUGCCUCCACUUCUCACACUUACUGAAAAGUUAGAACCCAAACUUUCUCACUUUUUAACCUAGCCGCUUGAGACUAUCAGAUUCGAUCUAAUGGAAGCCUCUGAAAAACUGGCUUUGAUAUGCUUCCUUCUGGUCUCUACUGUGAUUUCCUUGAUUAAAAUCGACAGGAGUUCGGUCAUGUUGAUCGUAUGUCGGUCAUGUUGAUCGUAUGUCGGUCAUGUUGAUCGUAUGUCGGUCAUGUUGAUCGUAUGUCGGUCAUGUUGAUCGUAUGUCGGUCAUGUUGAUCGUAUGUCGGUCAUGUUGAUCGUAUGUCGGUCAUGUUGAUCGUAUGUCGGUCAUGUUGAUCGUAUGUUUGUUGCUUUGUUUCCUAAAGAAUUAGGACCGGUUUGGCAGUUGGAAGAUAUUUUUGGCAGUUAGAAGAUAUUAAAGGAAAUCGCCAUCGGUUAACUUUUAAUAUGGAUGUCAAUAAUCCAUUGCUGACUGAUGGUUGGUCUAGCCUAAGAGUUUUUUAUAAAUUGCAGCAUAUCCAUCAAAUCUUAUUCAGAUUUGUUGGAAACUCAACAUUCCAGAUUACUGUAUUCUCCGACAUGACUGCAAUAUCAACUGCGACCAAAUUUCUCACAAACAUACAUCGAUUGCGAACAAAACAUCUUUUUAGGGUGAAAUUGACAAAAUCUCAAAGCCAAGCUAGCCAUCUGGACCUACCAACUGACUUUGCAGCUUAUGUUCGGAAAUGUAGUUUCAAGAGGUUGGAAUUGCAGGGAUCGACCAACACAUGCAUUGUGUGUAAGCUUUUGGUGCGUAAUUCACCUAAGAAGUCAACUAAGAUUGGGAAGGGAUGGAAGGACUUGUGCAUAUUCAAUCGGUUGAAAGAAGGAGAUGUUAUUGUGUUUGCAGCUCACAACCAAAUGAGAAAGAAGAAGAUAAAAGUCUAUGUCAAAAAAGAAUUUAGCUUUUAAUUUUUUACUUUUUUUUUAUUUACUUUAGAUGGUAUUUAUGGUUUUGUUUUCACUUUCAAGCAAGUUUUGAAUGGUAAUUUUGUUGCUUCUAAUAAGUAGAAGUUAUAUCUAAAAGUAUGUUAAUUUUGGUCAACUUUAAUAUU